rnacentral:tRNA from 1 species
CUUUAUUUAAUAUAAAUCAGUAUUUUUAUUUUCCAAAUAAAAUGUCAGUUUAAAAUACUGGAUAAAGA